GUGAAUCAUCGAAUUUUUGAACGCAAAUUGCGCUUCCUGGUAUCCUGGGGAGUAUGCCUGUUUGAGGGUCAGUAUUAACAAAAAAUCGGUUUGGUUGCAAAUUGUGGCGGUUCCGGAGUUUGGGCUUAUCGUAACUUUUUUGGUUAAGGGGCUCAAAAUUGACCUUUUAUGCGCAUUUUUAGGCGUACAUAAAUUUUUUAUUAUUCGUCUAUUCUUCAUGCCAAAAUCUUAUUAGA
rnacentral:misc_RNA from 1 species